GCUCCCCUUGUCCCCCCUUGGAAUCGUGCCGAGGGAUCUGGAGACGUCCUAGAGAGGUUUGGGGGCAUCCAGGGGGUUCUGGACUCAUGCAGAAGAGUCUGGAGAUGUCCAAGGAGGAUCCAGGGAGUCCCCAGGCCUGCCUGCAGCCGGACCCGGUGACACCGGAGCCCUGUGGCGCUGUCACCAUCCUCUGUCCCGAGGACGGGAGGUGAACUCUGUGCCACCAGCAGAGGGGACCACGGGUGACAUCAGUGUGGAACAGCCGUGACGCGGCGGCGUUGUCAUUGGGUGUCACCGUCACGCAGAGGGGCCAAAAGGACCCCCCUGGGGGCAUUGCAUCGAAGUUGGGGACACCGUGAGCAGCGUGAGGACUUCCCAGGGGAAGUGGGGGCACCGCGUCACCGUGUCACACCCCAAAGUUGGGGACGGCCCCACAGUGUCACACCCCAAAGUUGGG
rnacentral:lncRNA from 7 species